AUUGAUUUUAUGCUUGCAUAAAUGAUUUUUGGAUUCGGAGCGAGUGGCGAACUGGUGAGUAACACGUGGGUAACCUGCCCCGAAGCGGGGGAUAACAUUUGGAAACAAGUGCUAAUACCGCAUAAUUAGUUGGAACCGCAUGGUUCCAACUUGAAAGAUGGCUCUGCUAUCACUUUGGGAUGGACCCGCGCCGUAUUAGUUAGUUGGUGAGAUAAAAGCCCACCAAGACGAUGAUACGUAGCCGACCUGAGAGGGUAAUCGGCCACAUUGGGACUGAGACACGGCCCAGACUCCUACGGGAGGCAGCAGUAGGGAAUCUUCCACAAUGGACGAAAGUCUGAUGGAGCAACGCCGCGUGAGUGAUGAAGGUUUUCGGAUCGUAAAACUCUGUUGUUAAAGAAGAACAAGUGUUAGAGUAACUGUUAACACUUUGACGGUAUUUAACCAGAAAGCCACGGCUAACUACGUGCCAGCAGCCGCGGUAAUACGUAGGUGGCAAGCGUUGUCCGGAUUUAUUGGGCGUAAAGCGAGCGCAGGCGGUUUUGUAAGUCUGCUGUGAAAGCCCUCAGCUCAACUGAGGAAGCGCAGUGGAAACUACAAAACUUGAGUACAGAAGAGGAAAGUGGAACUCCAUGUGUAGCGGUGAAAUGCGUAGAUAUAUGGAAGAACACCAGUGGCGAAGGCGGCUUUCUGGUCUGUUACUGACGCUGAGGCUCGAAAGCAUGGGUAGCGAACAGGAUUAGAUACCCUGGUAGUCCAUGCCGUAAACGAUGAAUACUAGGUGUUGGAGGGUUUCCGCCCUUCAGUGCCGCAGCUAACGCAUUAAGUAUUCCGCCUGGGGAGUACGACCGCAAGGUUGAAACUCAAAGGAAUUGACGGGGGCCCGCACAAGUGGUGGAGCAUGUGGUUUAAUUCGAUGCUACGCGAAGAACCUUACCAGCUCUUGACAUCUUCUGCCAACCCAAGAGAUUGGGCGUUCCCUUCGGGGACAGAAUGACAGGUGGUGCAUGGUUGUCGUCAGCUCGUGUCGUGAGAUGUUGGGUUAAGUCCCGCAACGAGCGCAACCCUUAUUAUUAGUUGCCAGCAUUUAGUUGGGCACUCUAGUGAGACUGCCGGUGAUAAA
rnacentral:rRNA from 1 species